rnacentral:rRNA from 1 species
AGCAGGCUGCGGCGCUGUCCGUGCGCCGCAGCUGCUCUCCCGCUCGCUCCAGCUCCUCGGGGNNNNNNNUGGUUCCCUUUUGAUCGCUCAAACGUUACUUUGAAUAACUGUGGCAAUUCUGAGACUAAUACAUGCAAACGAGCGCUGACCCUUGCGGGGAUGCGUGGCAUUUAUCAGAACCAAAACCAUGGGGCUGCUCCUCCGGGGGCGCCCCGGCCCCUUUGGUGACUCUAGAUAACCUGGAGCCGAUCGGGCCCCCGUGGCCGGCGACGUCUCUUUCGGAAGUCUGCCCUAUCAACUUUCGAUGGUGGUACUUUCUGUGCCUACCAUGGUGACAACGGGUAACGGGGAAAUCAGGGUUCCGAUUCCCGGAAGAGGGAAGCCUGAGAAAACGGCUACCCACAUCCAAGGGAAGGCAGCAGGCGCGCAAAUUACCCACUCCCCGACACGGGGAGGUAGUGACGAAAAAUAACAAUACAGGACUUCUUUCGAGGCCCUGUAAUUGGAAUGAGUACACUUUAAAUCCUUUAACGAGGAUCCAUUGGAGGGCAACUGGUGCCAGCAGCCGCGGUAAUUCCAGCUCCAAUAGCGUAUCUUAAAGUUGCUGCAGUUAAAAAGCUUCGUAGUUGGAUCUCGGGAUCGACUGGCGGUCCGCCGAAAGGCGAGCUACCGCCUGUCCCAGCCCCGGCCUCUCGGGGCCCCCCUCGAUGCUCUUAGCUGAGUGUCCCGGGGGGUCCGAAGCGUUUACUUUGAAAAAAUUAGAGUGUUCAAAGCAGGCCCGGUCGCCUGAAUACCGCAGCUAGGGAAUAAUGGAAUAGGACUCCCGGUUCUAUUUUGUGGGUUUUCUUCUGAAACUGGGGAUGAUUAAGAAGACGGCCGGGGGCAUUCGUAUUGUGCCGCUAGAGGGUGAAUUCUUGGACCGGCGCAAGACGGACGAAAGCGAAAGCCAUUGCCAAGGAUGGUUUUCAUUAAUCAAGAACGAAAGUCGGAGUUCGAAGCCGAAUCACAUAUACCCGUCGUAGUUUGUUUUCAUUAAUUAGUUCCGAACCAUAAACGAUGCCAACUAGCAUUCCGGCGGGCGUGUUAUUUCCAAUGACCCGCCGGGCAGCGCCGGGAAACCCAAAGCUUUGGGUUCCGGGGGGAGUAAUGGUUGCAAAGCUGAAACUUAAAAGGAAUUGACGGAAGGGCACCACAGGGAUGGAGCCUGCGGCUUAAUUACCCAACACGGAAACCUCACCCGGCCCGGACACGGAAGGAUUGACAGAUUGAUAGCUCCUUUCUCGGAUUUUGGUGGGUGGUGGUGCAUGCCGUUCUUAGUUGUGGAGCGAUUUGUCUGGUUAAUUUCCGAUAACGAACGGGCUCCGGCAUGCUAACUAGUUACGCGCCCCGUGCGGUCGGCGUCCAACUUCUUAGAGGGACAAGUGGCGUUCAGCCACACGAGAUUGAGCACUUCUUAGAGGGACAAGUGGCGUUCAGGCCAACGAGAUUGAGCAAUAACAGGUCUUUGAUGACCUUAGAUGUCCGGGGCUGCACGCGCGCCACACUGAGCGGAUCAGCGGUGUCUACCCUGCGCCGAGAGGCGUGGGUUACCCAGCUGAACCCCACUCGUGAUAAGGGAAUGGGGGACUGCCAAUUAUUUCCCAUCAACGAGAAUUCCCAGUAGCGCGGGGUCAUAAGCUCGCGUUGAUUUAAGUCCCUCCCUUUGUACACACCGCCCGUCGCUACUACCGAUUGGAUGGGUUUAGUGAGGUCCUCGGAUCGCCCCGCCGGGGUCGCCCCGGGCCCUGGCGGGCGCCGAGAAGACGGUCAACCUUGACUAUCUAGAGGAAGUAAAAGUCGUAACAAGGUUUCCGUAGGUGAACCUGCGGAAG